AUAAAGUUUAAUUCUGACUUAAAAAUUUAUUUAAUUUUUUUUUUAUAUGUAAAUUUUUGUGUGAAUAUUAAUAAAAUUUUAAAAAUUUUUUUAAAGGAAUUUAUUUGCAGUAUUUAAUAUUAAUAAUUUAAGAAAUUGAGAAUUAGAAAUUGAUUUUAAUAUUAACAAAUUUUGUGCCAGCAGUUGCGGUUAUACAAAAUAUGUAAAUGAAUUUUAUUGGUAAAUAAUUAUAUGGAUUAUUUUAAUAAAUUAAUAUUAUAUUUAUUAGGUGAAAUUUUUAAAUAUAAAUUUAGUUUAUAUAAAAAUUUUUAGUAUUAUGAAAUUUUUUUUUAAACUAGGAUUAGAUACCCUAUUAUUUUAAAUGUAAAAUUUUUUUACUUAAGUAGUAUUAGUUAUGUUCUUGAAAUUUAAAGAUUUUGGCGGUAUUUUAGUCUAUUUAGAGGAACCUGUUCUAUGAUUGAUAAUCCACGAUUGACUUUACUUAUUUUAUAAAUUUGUAUACCAUCGUUUUAAGAAAAUUUUAUAAGAAUAUUAAUUUUUAAUAUUUUAAAUUAAAAGAUAUAUCAGAUCAAGGUGCAGUAUAUAUUUAAGAAGAAAUGGGUUACAAUAAAUUUAUUUAUAUGGAUAAAAGUAAGAAUAAACUUUUUGAAGGUGGAUUUAAUAGUAAUAAAAUUUAAUUUAAUUUUAUGAUUUUAGCUCUAAAAUAUGUACAUAUCGCCCGUCGCUCUUAUUAUAAGAUAAGAUAAGUCGUAACAUAGUAGAUGUACUGGAAAGUGUAUCUAGAAUGAC
rnacentral:ncRNA from 1 species